CAGUAGCCACGGGAAUACGAAGGGGGCUAGCGUUGUUCGGAAUUACUGGGCGUAAAGCGCACGUAGGCGGAUAUUUAAGUCAGGGGUGAAAUCCCAGAGCUCAACUCUGGAACUGCCUUUGAUACUGGGUAUCUUGAGUAUGGAAGAGGUGAGUGGAAUUCUGAGUGUAGAGGUGAAAUUCGUAGAUAUUCGGAGGAACACCAGUGGCGAAGGCGGCUCACUGGUCCAUUACUGACGCUGAGGUGCGAAAGCGUGGGGAGCAAACAGGAUUAGAUACCCCAGUAGUCCCUGUCUCUUAUAC
rnacentral:rRNA from 1 species